UACGUAGGGACCAAGCGUUGUUCGGAUUUACUGGGCGUAAAGGGCGCGUAGGCGGCGUGACAAGUCACUUGUGAAAUCUCCGGGCUUAACUCGGAACGGUCAGGUGAUACUGUCGGACUAGAGGUACAGAAGGGGCAACUGGAAUUCUCGGAUGUAGCGGUGAAAUGCGUAGAUAUCGAGAGGGAACACCUGCGGCGAAGGCGGGUUGCUGGGCUG
rnacentral:rRNA from 1 species